rnacentral:tRNA from 1 species
AGAGCAUAGUAUAGGGGAAAUACAUAGCAAUUUUGAUUUCUAAGGGAUGGGUUCGAGUCCUGUUGUUCUA